rnacentral:sRNA from 1 species
UACCUACGUAUUGAGCCUGGGUGGGAGGC